CCUACGGGGGGCAGCAGUGAGGAAUAUUGGUCAAUGGACGAGAGUCUGAACCAGCCAAGUAGCGUGAAGGAUGACUGCCCUAUGGGUUGUAAACUUCUUUUAUAUGGGAAUAAAAUGUUCCACGUGUGGGAUUUUGUAUGUACCAUAUGAAUAAGGAUCGGCUAACUCCGUGCCAGCAGCCGCGGUAAUACGGAGGAUCCGAGCGUUAUCCGGAUUUAUUGGGUCUAAAGGGAGCGUAGGUGGAUUGUUAAGUCAGUUGUGAAAGUUUGCGGCUCAACCGUAAAAUUGCAGUUGAAACUGGCAGUCUUGAGUACAGUAGAGGUGGGCGGAAUUCGUGGUGUAGCGGUGAAAUGCUUAGAUAGCACGAAGAACUCCGAUUGCGAAGGCAGUUCACUGGACUGCAACUGACACUGAGGCUCGAAAGUGUGGGUAUCAAACAGGAUUAGAUACCCCAGUAGUC
rnacentral:rRNA from 1 species